rnacentral:rRNA from 1 species
CCCCUAGAUGUUCUGGGCCGCACGCGCGCUACACUGACCGGCGCAACAAGUUUCUUUCCUUGGCUCGAUAGGCCUGGGUAAUCUUUGAACGCCGGUCGUGAUGGGGAUAGAUCCUUGCAAUUUUUGAUCUUCAACGAGGAAUUCCUAGUAAAUGCGAGUCAUCAUCUCGCGUUGAUUACGUCCCUGCCCUUUGUACACACCGCCCGUCGCACCUACCGAUUGAAUGGUCCGGUGAAGCCUCGGGAUUGCGAAUGCUUCGUGCGGACGCGAGAACUUGGCUAAACCUUACCAUUUAGAGGAAGGUGAAGUCGUAACA